GACGAACGCUGGCGGCGUGCUUAACACAUGCAAGUCGAACGAGGUCCAUUCAGUAGCAAUACUGAUGAAGAUCUAGUGGCGAACGGGUGCGUAACACGUGAGGAACUUGUCCCGGUCUCUGGGAUAACAGUUGGAAACGACUGCUAAUACCGGAUGACGUCGGAACUUCGCAUGGAGUACUGACGAAAGGGUUACUGGAUCGGGAGAGCCUCGCGGCCUAUCAGCUUGUUGGUGGGGUAAUGGCCUACCAAGGCAUCGACGGGUAGCUGGUCUGAGAGGAUGAUCAGCCACACUGGGACUGAGACACGGCCCAGACUCCUACGGGAGGCAGCAGUGGGG
rnacentral:rRNA from 1 species